CAGAGCAGUAAAAUCUUUCAGCCUUUGGGCUGUCCCCUGCCAAUCUUGGGAACUAAGCAGGGUUGGGUCUGGUCAGUAAUCGGAUGGGAGACCAUCUGAGAAUAGCAGGUGUCAUGGCUAUAC
rnacentral:rRNA from 1 species